UACGUAGGUGGCAAGCGUUGUCCGGAUUUACUGGGCGUAAAGGGCUCGUAGGCGGCCAACUAAGUCAGACGUGAAAUCCCUCAGCUUAACUGGGGAACUGCGUCUGAUACUGGAUGGCUUGGAUCCGGGAGAGGGAUGCGGAAUUCCAGGUGUAGCGGUGAAAUGCGUAGAUAUCUGGAGGAACACCGGUGGCGAAGGCGGCAUCCUGGACCGGUAUUGACGCUGAGGAGCGAAAGCCAGGGGAGCAAACGGG
rnacentral:rRNA from 1 species